AGUGAACGCUGGCGGUAGGCCUAACACAUGCAAGUCGAACGGCAGCACAGGAGAGCUUGCUCUCUGGGUGGCGAGUGGCGGACGGGUGAGGAAUACAUCGGAAUCUACUCUGUCGUGGGGGAUAACGUAGGGAAACUUACGCUAAUACCGCAUACGACCUACGGGUGAAAGCAGGGGACCUUCGGGCCUUGCGCGAUUGAAUGAGCCGAUGUCGGAUUAGCUAGUUGGCGGGGUAAAGGCCCACCAAGGCGACGAUCCGUAGCUGGUCUGAGGGGAUGAUCAGCCACACUGGAGCUGAGAGACGGUCCAGACUCCUACGGGAGGCAGCAGUGGGGAAUAGUGGGCAAUGGGCGCAAGCCUGAUCCAGCCAUACCGCGUGGGUGGAGAAGGCAUUCGGGCUGUAAAGCCCUUUUGUUGGGAAAGAAAUCCAGCUGGCUAAUACCCGGUUGGGAUGACGGUACCCAAGGAAUAAGCACCGGCUAACUUCGUGCCAGCCGCCGCCGUAA
rnacentral:rRNA from 1 species